UGCCGGGAGUGUCUGGGGCUUUUUGGAGCGUGAACUCGUGGGGAUGCAAACAUUUCUUUGGCCUGGUGCUGGCACACGGCAGCGAAGUUGGAGCAGCGAGCAGCGGGAAUCCCGCUGGAAUGCUCACAGCGGGGAAUUCUGCCCAAAUUCUGGAGCUGGAAUCUGGCCCUCAGCCGUGGGGAGGGGGCUGCUGUGUCCUGCGAGGGUUUGGGUACAGGGGGUGAUCCCAGAGGAUCAGAUCCCAGAGGAUCAGACCCCCUGUGCACGGAGCUGGGUGUCCCUAGAGUGACCCUCCUCUCUCCCUGAGUGGUGUGAGCCACCAGCAGGUGCCAAAACCCACAGGAUUUGCCUCAAAACAGAUUUCUUGAUAUUUGGGCAGCCUCCAGGCGAGCUGCAAAGUGAGGGCCUGGGGAGGACUCCACUCCCCAGCCCUGAGGGAAUGGUCACAGCUCGGGCUGCCCCUGGGGAACUGAUAAAAAUACAAAAUUAAAAGCAGAGAGAGCAAAUUUUCACUUCCCCUUGCUGGCUGCUGCCGAGCCACCUCAGGGCUUCUUGGAAAUGCAGAGGUCAGGCAGGGGGAGCAGAGGCUUUCCUUGGCUCUUUGUGUGGCCCGGAGCUUGGAAGAGCCAAAAUGAGUCACUGACCCUCAUCCCAAUAAGCUUUUCCCAGCAGUUGUGGGAGGAGGAGUGAAGAUUUCCCAAUAAAGGGACUUCUUUUGCAGAAAAAAAAUUCAGCAUCUUGAAAAAACGAUGUCCCACAGUGGGAAUCAUCCAUCCAAAAGCUCUCGAGACAUCAGGGAUGCCCAAGAGGAGCAGGAUGAUGUGAAUUCCAGCAGUGCAUCCCGUCUCAGCCCGAGGGAGGCAGUGCUGGGAACAUCCCUCUGUUUCCCGUGUGUGGACUCGGGAUUUUCUCUGCAAGAACCAACCUAAAACCAACCCAAUUCCUCCUGCUCACAACCUUCUCAUCCCAAAACAUUUUCAGCCUGGACUCCAGGAGUGGAGAAGCUGGGAUGGGACCCCCUCAGCCAGCACCAGGCUCCUUCUCCACCCCCCCUAAAAAGUUCUUCCUGAACCUCAUCAGAGCAGGUUGAGUCACUGGAGUGCCGUGACAUCACUGGUGGUUUUGCGAGCGAGCAGCCGCGUUUCCUGUGGUGCCCGGGCUCCUGUAGACACAGACACGCAUGGAGAGAUGUGAGCUUUUAGCUCCUGCUCCUUCCUCCCUCCCAGCAUCGCUUCCCUCAACCCUCACCUCUCUUUUCCCAGCGCCAGCGGCGAGGGCCGGCGGCGGAGCUGGAGAGCUGGAUCCCGCUGAGAGGAUGAAAACAUGGGGCUCAAGUUAUCCUGCCUGAAAGGCUUGAAGAUGUGUGUGAGCAGCGGGAACGGCAGCGACGGCGCCCCGAGAGCAUCCUCGGGACAGAAGCAUCUGCUCGUGCCCUCCAUCAUCGUCACACCCCCCACGCCCACGGGCACGGCGCUGUCCCGCGAGGGGCGGCGCGGGGAGGGCCCGGCACCCUGCAGCCAGUGCUGAGAGGGGACACGGGGGGACAGCCGGGCCGCCAGGACCCGGCCCCGCUCCGUCGGGAUGGAGCCACAGCCUGCAGGGCGCGGCUGCCGCUCGCAGGGACACACGGGGGGUUUGGACGCCAGGGAUUGGGGUUUGUCCCUUUUCCUAACAGCGCCGGGGAGGGGGAUCCCCCCACGGUGAAUAAAACCCCUGCGGCUCCGCA